rnacentral:lncRNA from 1 species
GGGGAGUGGAAGAAGGAGGAAUAAGCUGGAAUGUGUGGGUAGGCAGGGGACCUUAAGACCAAUCCAAAUGUUCUGCAAAUGUUCUUAGGUCUGGGUCCGGGUCACCUUCACCAGAAGAACCUAUUUCCCUUCCCAGGGGACAGACUCAGGAGGGUCUAGCCCACAUACACAAACCAAGUUAUAUUUCAACUGGCAGAAUCAGAGAAGCCUUCUCAGGAGGCAUGGCCAGAUGCCACGUUGCAUGUGAGGUUAAAUAGGAAAUAACUCAGACUGCAAAGCCAAGUUUAGAAUCAGAAAAACAACUAAUCAGAGCAACAGCAGUGAGAACAAUCUGUCCCGGAGCUGGAGCAGAGGCUGCCGGGCUCUGACAGUCACAGGCGCCGCCCUGCACAAUGCAGCCAUUAUGACUGCCCGGCACCAACGUGGCUGAGCUCCAACCACAAGCCCUUUCAUCCUGGAAGGUCUCUGUUAGGAAGCAGAGUCUGGGCAGUUCCAAUCCUGGUCAUGAAUCUGCAUUAUGGAUCUUCACAAAUUGAAGAAACCCUCAAGGGGCCACGCCGGGAAAGGCAAGUUGAAAGAGAAGGACAUCCCUGACUACUUAAUAAACUGGAUGUGUGUGUA